UACGUAGGGUGCAGGCGUUAAUCGGAAUUAUUGGGCGUAAAGAGCUCGUAGGCGGUGUGUCGCGUCGGCCGUGAAAACCUGCAGCUUAACUGUGGGCUUGCGGUCGAUACGGGCAUCACUGGAGUUCGGCAGGGGAGACUGGAAUUCCUGGUGUAGCGGUGAAAUGCGCAGAUAUCAGGAGGAACACCGGUGGCGAAGGCGGGUCUCUGGGCCGAUACUGACGCUGAGGAGCGAAAGCGUGGGGAGCGAACAGG
rnacentral:rRNA from 1 species